GGAGGGUUUAGCCUAGUGGCCAAGGCACCGAGUUAGGAUCUCGGCGCGGGUAAUUAGCCUACCCGCCGCAGGUUCGAAUCCCGCACCCUCCGCCA
rnacentral:tRNA from 1 species